rnacentral:rRNA from 1 species
AACGAACGCUGGCGGCAUGCCUAACACAUGCAAGUCGAACGAGACCUUCGGGUCUAGUGGCGCACGGGUGCGUAACGCGUGGGAACCUGCCCUUAGGUUCGGAAUAACUCCCCGAAAGGGGUGCUAAUACCGGAUAAUGUCUUCGGACCAAAGAUUUAUCGCCUUUGGAUGGGCCCGCGUUGGAUUAGCUAGUUGGUAGGGUAAAAGCCUACCAAGGCGACGAUCCAUAGCUUGUCUGAGAGGAUGAUCAGCCACACUGGGACUGAGACACGGCCCAGACUCCUACGGGAGGCCGGAGUGGGGAAUAUUGGACAAUGGGCGAAAGCCUGAUCCAGCAAUGCCGCGUGAGUGAUGAAGGCCUUAGGGUUGUAAAGCUCUUUUAACCGGGAUGAUAAUGACAGUACCGGGAGAAUAAGCUACGGCUAACUCCGUG